GACGAACGCUGGCGGCGUGCUUAACACAUGCAAGUCGAACGGAAAGGCCCUGCUUUUGUGGGGUGCUCGAGUGGCGAACGGGUGAGUAACACGUGAGUAACCUGCCCUUGACUUUGGGAUAUCUUCAGGAAACUGGGGCUAAUACCGGAUAGGAGCUCCUGCUGCAUGGUGGGGGUUGGAAAGUUUCGGCGGUUGGGGAUGGACUCGCGGCUUAUCAGCUUGUUGGUGGGGUAGUGGCUUACCAAGGCUUUGACGGGUAGCCGGCCUGAGAGGGUGACCGGCCACAUUGGGACUGAGAUACGGCCCAGAAUCCUACGGGAGGCAGCAGUGGGGAAUAUUGCACAAUGGGCGGAAGCCUGAUGCAGCAACGCCGCGUGCGGGAUGACGGCCUUCGGGUUGUAAACCGCUUUCGCCUGUGACGAAGCGUGAGUGACGGUAAUGGGUAAAGAAGCACCGGCUAACUACGUG
rnacentral:rRNA from 1 species